GAAAAUGAAGUUGUGAAAAGGUUAACACGAUCUUUAUAUCUAAAUCUCUCCAAUGUUUUUCUUAGUAUUUACCAAUGUUUCUUCAAGAAGAUCUGAAUCCAAGUGUUUCUUCUACGAUAGCACACCUCAAGGCACUCGUCGGGCCUAGUGAUCAUCACAUCAUUUAUUCGCAGGGUUGGUACACUCUUUUCACGAGGUUUGUACACCUCAUAUCAUUC
rnacentral:lncRNA from 1 species